UUGAGCCGCGAACCCUGUAUUGGGGUAAAAACAAUGCCACUGCCUCAAAGGGUUCCCUUUAAGGAUGCGGAUGCGCAGCACCAGCACCGCGCUGCAUUAUGGGAAGAAACACAGUGGCCUGCCAAUCACUAAGGCAGCAUUCUCCGAGGGGGCGGCAUACCUGCCCUGGAAGGUGUUGCAGCCAUAUGGGGCUGGCUUGGCCUGGGUGGGCCACCAGAUUCAUGGCUACAUGGAAGGAGACAGCAAGGGCCGGCUGCUUCCCUGGGCAAGGGAGCCCUCCAUCCUGUGAAAGCCAGACCAAGCGACUGGCCUAGAUUGUCGGCCCAAACAGCAACACAUCUUGGUUCUGAGGAAUACUGCAGUCAAGUCUGGGGCUCUCUUGCCUUUGGAUCAAGAAAUCAAGAAUAAAAGAUGUCUUUUGAAGAGCACCAUUAAACUUGUUCCUUGCUGUUCAGUGAUGAAGUCAUGUCUGACUCUUUGAGACCCCAAGGACUGCAGCACAUCAGGCUCCUCUGUCCUUCAGUAUCUCCUGGAGUUUUCCCAAAUUUACGUCCAUUGCACAUUGGUAAAUCCACUGGAUAGUGUUCAUCCCUUGUAGGAAAUCAAUAUUUCAUACAAGAGGUCUCUCACUUCUCCUUGAGACUCUUUUCUUUUUUAACUUGGCUUUAAGUAUACUACACUUUGUCCUAAUUCUGUUGUUUGUUCUACUUCUGUUACUGCUGCUUCUCCAUCUCAGUGCUGAGUUUUCUCAUUUCCCCAACAUAUAAAAUCUUGGUUGCUGCAGAAUUCUGUCCUCAGAUAUAAUAUUCUAUAGGUACUUGAUCCAUUUGCCUAUUUCUUAUAGUCUGUGUUUUUCAAUAACAUUUACUCAUUGACAAAUAUCAAAUGUGUAAAUCCAAUCUCAAAUGUCCCUUAAAUUAUACUCAUAAAAAACUUCUUUAAAUAACACUUAAAUUUUUUAUAUCUCCUCCUACUCCUGGAACUUUAUGUCCACUGUUACAGUUUUAUCUUUCUCUAUGAAACUGAUCACUUUUACAUAUUAUAUGUUUAAUUAUGUAUUUU